rnacentral:tRNA from 2 species
GCUGGAUGGUCCGGACGGUAUGACGGAAGAACUCUUAUAAGGUUCCUGACAAGGUUCAAUUCCUUGAUCCAGCAC